UAAGGAAUAUUGGUCAAUGGAGGCAACUCUGAACCAGCCAUGCCGCGUGCAGGAUGAAUGCCCUACGGGUAGUAAACUGCUUUUAUACGGGAAGAAACCCCAAUACGUGUAUUGGGUUGACGGUACUGUAAGAAUAAGGAUCGGCUAACUUCGUGCCAGCAGCCGCGGUAAUACGAAGGAUCCAAGCGUUAUCCGGAUUUAUUGGGUUUAAAGGGUGCGUAGGCGGCCUAUUAAGUCAGAGGUGAAAGCCCGGAGCUUAACUCCGGAACUGCCUUUGAUACUGAUGGGCUUGAAUAUAGUUGAGGUAGGCGGAAUGUGUCAUGUAGCGGUGAAAUGCUUAGAUAUGACACAGAACACCGAUUGCGAAGGCAGCUUGCUAAACUAUUAUUGACGCUGAGGCACUAAAGCGUGGGGAUCAAACAGGAUUAGAUACCCCUGUAGUCC
rnacentral:rRNA from 1 species